UACGGGGGGGGCAAGCGUUGUUCGGAAUUACUGGGCGUAAAGGGCUCGUAGGUGGCCAACUAAGUCAGACGUGAAAUCCCUCGGCUUAACCGGGGAACUGCGUCUGAUACUGGAUGGCUUGAGUUCGGGAGAGGGAUGCGGAAUUCCAGGUGUAGCGGUGAAAUGCGUAGAUAUCUGGGAGGAACACCGGUGGCGAAGGCGGCAUCCUGGACCGACACUGACACUGAGGAGCGAAAGCCAGGGGAGCAAAGCGGG
rnacentral:rRNA from 1 species